AUAAAAAACUAGAGCAUGAUAACUGUACAUUUGAUAUAUGAAAAUAAGAGGAGGAAAUGGACUUAAAUAAGAACUCUUGCUAUAAUGAGCCAAGGUUGAAGCCUUCACAAACCAGAGAGUGGAAUGGGUUGCAGAAUCGUGAUGAAAAAGGCUGAAAUUUAUGGAGUCUUAAGGCAUUUAUCAAGCUAAAGGAUCAUUAAUGAUAAUAGUGACAAUAAUGGUGUGAUGAAGGAGAGACAUGAGAGAAGACAAAUCUAGUUGAAAAAUUGAAAG
rnacentral:lncRNA from 1 species